GAUGAACGCUGGCGGCGUGCUUAACACAUGCAAGUCGAACGGAAAGGCUCCUGCUUGCAGGGGUACUCGAGUGGCGAACGGGUGAGUAACACGUGGGUGAUCUGCCCUGCACUUCGGGAUAAGCCUGGGAAACUGGGUCUAAUUCCGGAUAGGACGAUGGCUUGGAUGCCAUUGUGGAAAGUUUUUCGGUGUGGGAUGAGCUCGCGGCCUAUCAGCUUGUUGGUGGGGUAAUGGCCUACCAAGGCGUCGACGGUUAGCCGGCCUGAGAGGGUGUACGGCCACAUUGGGACUGAGAUACGGCCCAGACUCCUACGGGAGGCAGCAGUGGGGAAUAUUGCACAAUGGGCGCAAGCCUGAUGCAGCGACGCCGCGUGGGGGAUGACGGCCUUCGGGUUGUAAACUCCUUUCGCUAGGGACGAAGCGCAAUGGACGGUACCUGGAGAAGAAGCACCGGCUAACUACGU
rnacentral:rRNA from 1 species